rnacentral:rRNA from 1 species
UACGGAGGGUGAAAGCGUUAAUCGGAAUUACUGGGCGUAAAGCGCGCGUAGGCGGCUCGAUCAGGCGGGGGUGAAAUCCCUGGGCUCAACCUGGGAACUGCAUUCGAUACUGUCGAGCUAGAGUGUGGGAGAGGGUAGUGGAAUUCCCGGUGUAGCGGUGAAAUGCGUAGAUAUCGGGAGGAACAUCAGUGGCGAAGGCGACUGCCUGGCCCAACACUGACGCUGAGGUGCGAAAGCGUGGGUAGCAAACAGG